rnacentral:rRNA from 1 species
GACGAACGCUGGCGGCGUGCUUAACACAUGCAAGUCGAACGAAGAGCGAUGGAAGCUUGCUUCUAUCAAUCUUAGUGGCGAACGGGUGAGUAACGCGUAAUCAACCUGCCCUUCAGAGGGGGACAACAGUUGGAAACGACUGCUAAUACCGCAUACGAUCUAAUCUCGGCAUCGAGGAUGGAUGAAAGGUGGCCUCUACAUGUAAGCUAUCACUGAAGGAGGGGAUUGCGUCUGAUUAGCUAGUUGGAGGGGUAACGGCCCACCAAGGCGAUGAUCAGUAGCCGGUCUGAGAGGAUGAACGGCCACAUUGGGACUGAGACACGGCCCAGACUCCUACGGGAGGCAGCAGUGGGGCAUCUUCCGCAAUGGACGAAAGUCUGACGGAGCAACGCCGCGUGAGUGAUGACGGCCUUCGGGUUGUAAAGCUCUGUUAAUCGGGACGAAAGGCCUUCUUGCGAAUAGUGAGAAGGAUUGACGGUACCGGAAUAGAAAGCCACGGCUAACUACGUG